AUACGUAGGUGACAAGCGUUAUCCGGAUUUACUGGGCGUAAAGGGCGUGUAGGCGGUCUUGCAAGUCAGAAGUGAAAUUCCUGAGCCCAACUCGGGCGCUGCUUCUGAAACUGCAGGACUUGAGUGCUGGAGGGGAUAGCGGAAUUCCUAGUGGAGCGGUAAAAUGCGCAGAUAUUAGGAAGAACACCGGUGGCGAAGGCGUCUUUCUGGACAGAAACUGAGCCUGAGGCGCGAAAUCGUGAGGAGCAAACAGGAUUAGAUACCCUGGUAGACCACGCCGUAAACGAUGAAUACUAGGUGUAGGGGGUAUCGACUCCCUCUGUGCCGCAGUUAACACAAUAAGUAUUCCGCCUGGGGAGUACGGCCGCAAGGUUGAAACUCAAAUGAAUUGACGGGG
rnacentral:rRNA from 1 species